GGGGGUGUAGCUCAGCUGGGAGAGCACCUGCCCUGCAAGCAGGGGGUCAAGAGUUCGAUCCUCUUCAUCUCCACCA
rnacentral:tRNA from 2 species